rnacentral:rRNA from 1 species
AUGUCCGAGCUCGGCUGUGUGCCUGAUGCCAUCUCAUACAACACAGUUCUUAAGAGAUUAUGUGAAGAUAGCAGAAGCCAGGGAGCACUCGACCUGCUCCGGACGGUGGCAAAAGAAGGAGGUGUUGGCUCUCUCGAUGUGGUAUCCCAUAGCACUGUCAUCCAUGGCUUCUUUAAGGAAGGCGAAACAGGCAAGGCAUGCAAUCUAUUCCAUGAAAUGACACAACAAGGGAUUGUGCCCAAUGUGGUGACAUAUAACUUGAUUAUUGAUGCGUUGUGCAAGGCCAGAGCAAUGGACAAGUCAGAGCUGAUCCUUCGGCAGAUGGUUGAUAACGGUGUUCGACCCGAUACAGUUACUUGCAGCUCGAUCAUGUCUUCCCUUUGCAAGCAUGGAAGAAGCAAAGAAGCUGCAGAAAUUUUUGACUCCAUGACUGCCAAAGGCCUCAAAGCUGAUGUUUUCUCAUAUUCUGUUUCA